GUUUACUUUUUAUCCUUAUCAAAAUCAUAAAAAGCUUCCAGUGUCAAUGUUUGUGCAUAUUGUGAGGUCGAAUAAAGUUAAGCUUAUUAUGCAAAUCAUAAGGUAAUAGCUUAUCUGAAAGGCAGAAAGACUAAUGUGGAACUAAAAAAGAUGAUUACGAAAAUUGAAAAAUUUAUUUCCACCAAUAAGUUAAAAUUUGCAAAUUUUGCAAUCUUCACUAUCAAUAAGAAUAAAAUACUAAUAUAUGCCAUGGACCUUGUGUUUAAGUGCUAUGUGGAUAUUAAAAUCAUAUGAUGAUUUUUAAAUUGAUUGAAUUAAUAGCUUACAAAACGUCUAAUUUCAUAGUUAAAAGCUAUGGCCCCUCUUCUAAUGUGCAAGAGACAUAGUGAUCCUGGAGCAAAUAGAAGAGUGAAUAAACUGUCAAAUGUAUCAUAACAUCAUAUUGGAUAUUGAUUCGUUGUGCCUUAGAAUUUCAUGCUACUUAAUCAUAUAUUGUGUUAUUCUUAUGAUCGAAUAUAUAUUAAAGAAAUUGAACAGGGCAGAAGUCAUGCGAGUAAUGUUCCUGCAAUAGGAACUUAAUUAAUGUAAUAUACCUACUACUACUAUUCCAUCUUCUCGGCUCCAACUGUAGAGAGGCGUAUGUGAUUGAAAACAAGUGAUCAGUCCCUACUUAUAUUAGUCCAAGACUCAAUCAUAGAGAUAAAAAAUAAAGAGUGCUUACUUGAGGAAAAAAUUGAAGGGAGAGACAGCUGAUGAAUACAAACAAUAAAACAUUCAAGGGCCUAAUGGAUACUGAGGGUACUCAACAUUGUUCAAAUUUUCCUCUUUUUUCUUAUCAAAAUGGGAAGUAUAAAUAUGAAAUCUGGAAAAUGCGAAAUAGUUCAUCGUUAUAAUAAUUUAUCAAUCUCAAUUUUUACUCUUAGGAAGGAGUAUGAUCUCUAAUGGAAUCUCCACGAUUGGUGUUUAAAUUCGCCUUGAAUCGCAUGAAGCCUAUAAUAACAUUAUGAUGAACAUUUUCAUAAUUGAUUUUUUCUCACAAAUUCCUAUUAUUCUCAUUUGUUCUCGUAAAUACCUAUUUUAAUAAAAAUUGUUUUAGAAUAUCUAAGACAAAUGAACAUG
rnacentral:lncRNA from 1 species